GUCCACGCCCUAAACGAUGUCAACUAGGUGUUGGGGAAGGAGACUUUCUUAGUACCGCAGCUAACGCGUGAAGUUGACCGCCUGGGGAGUACGGUCGCAAGAUUAAAACUCAAAGGAAUUGACGGGGACCCGCACAAGCGGUGGAUGAUGUGGAUUAAUUCGAUGCAACGCGAAAAACCUUACCUACCCUUGACAUGCCAGGAAUCCUGCAGAGAUGUGGGAGUGCUCGAAAGAGAAUCAGAACACAGGUGCUGCAUGGCCGUCGU
rnacentral:rRNA from 1 species